AUUGAACGCUGGCGGCAGGCUUAACACAUGCAAGUCGAGCGGGGAAAUGUAGCUUGCUACAUUACCUAGCGGCGGACGGGUGAGUAAUGCUUAGGAAUCAGCCUAUUAGUGGGGGACAACAUUCCGAAAGGAAUGCUAAUACCGCAUACGUCCUACGGGAGAAAGCAGGGGACCUUCGGGCCUUGCGCUAAUAGAUGAGCCUAAGUCGGAUUAGCUAGUUGGUGGGGUAAAGGCCUACCAAGGCGACGAUCUGUAGCGGGUCUGAGAGGAUGAGCCGCCACACUGGGACUGAGACACGGCCCAGACUCCUACGGGAGGCAGCAGUGGGGAAUAUUGGACAAUGGGGGGAACCCUGAUCCAGCCAUGCCGCGUGUGUGAAGAAGGCCUUUUGGUUGUAAAGCACUUUAAGCGAGGAGGAGGCUACUAGUAUUAAUACUACUGGAUAGUGGACGUUACUCGCAGAAUAAGCACCGGCUAACUCUGUGCCAGCAGCCGCAGUAAAAC
rnacentral:rRNA from 1 species